GAUGAACGCUGGCGGCGUGCCUAAUACAUGCAAGUCGAGCGAACGGACGAGAAGCUUGCUUCUCUGAUGUUAGCGGCGGACGGGUGAGUAACACGUGGAUAACCUACCUAUAAGACUGGGAUAACUUCGGGAAACCGUAGCUAAUACCGGAUAAUAUUUUGAACCGCAUGGUUCAAAAGUGAAAGACGGUCUUGCUGUCACUUAUAGGUGGAUCCGCGCUGCAUUAGCUAGUUGGUAAGGUAACGGCUUACCAAGGCAACGAUGCAUAGCCGACCUGAGAGGGUGAUCGGCCACACUGGAACUGAGACACGGUCCAGACUCCUACGGGAGGCAGCAGUAGGGAAUCUUCCGCAAUGGGCGAAAGCCUGACGGAGCAACGCCGCGUGAGUGAUGAAGGUCUUCGGAUCGUAAAACUCUGUUAUCAGGGAAGAACAUAUGUGUAAGUAACUGUGCACAUCUUGACGGUACCUAAUCAGAAAGCCACGGCUAACUACGUG
rnacentral:rRNA from 1 species